CAAGUCGAGCGAGAAAGUGGAGCAAUCCAUGAGUACAGUGGCGUACGGGUGAGUAACACGUGGGUAAUCUACCUCUUAGUGGGGAAUAACCAGGGGAAACUCUGGCUAAUACCGCAUAAGCCUGAGAAGGGAAAGCAGCAAUGCGCUGAGAGAGGAGCCCGCGGCCGAUUAGCUAGUUGGUGGGGUAAGAGCCCACCAAGGCAGAGAUCGGUAGCCGGCCUGAGAGGGCACACGGCCACACUGGCGCUGAAACACGGGCCAGACUCCUACGGGAGGCAGCAGUGGGGAAUCUUGCACAAUGGGGGAAACCCUGAUGCAGCGACGCCGCGUGAGCGAUGAAGCCCUUCGGGGUGUAAAGCUCUUUCGUCAGGGACGAUAAUGACGGUACCUGGAGAAGCAGCUGCGGCUAACUACGUGCCAGCAGCCGCGGUAAUACGUAGGCAGCAAGCGUUGUUCGGAGUUACUGGGCGUAAAGGGUGUGUAGGCGGUUCUUUAAGUUUGGUGUGAAAUCUCCCGGCUCAACUGGGAGGGUGCGCCGAAUACUGAGGGACUAGAGUACGGGAGAGGAAAGUGGAAUUCCUGGUGUAGCGGUGAAAUGCGUAGAUAUCAGGAGGAACACCGGUGGUGUAGACGGCUUUCUGGACCGUAACUGACGCUGAGACACGAAAGCGUGGGUAGCAAACAGGAUUAGAUACCCUGGUAGUCCACGCCCUAAACGAUGCAUAUUUGGUGUGGGCAGUUCAUUCUGUCCGUGCCGGAGCUAACGCGUUAAAUAUGCCGCCUGGGGAGUACAGUCGCGAGGCUGAAACUCAAAGGAAUUGACGGGGGCCCGCACAAGCGGUGGAGCAUGUGGUUCAUUCGACGCAACGCGAA
rnacentral:rRNA from 1 species